rnacentral:rRNA from 1 species
UACGGGGGGGGCAAGCGUUGUUCGGAAUUACUGGGCGUAAAGGGCUCGUAGGCGGCUUGCUAAGUCGGACGUGAAAUCCCUCGGCUCAACCGGGGAACUGCGUCCGAUACUGGCGAGCUUGAAUCCGGGAGAGGGAUGCGGAAUUCCAGGUGUAGCGGUGAAAUGCGUAGAUAUCUGGAGGAACACCGGUGGCGAAGGCGGCAUCCUGGACCGGCAUUGACGCUGAGGAGCGAAAGCCAGGGGAGCAAACGGG